UACAGAGGUCCCAAGCGUUGUUCGGAUUCACUGGGCGUAAAGGGUGCGUAGGCGGUCGGGUAAGUCUGAUGUGAAAUCUCCGGGCUCAACCCGGAAAUGGCAUUGGAUACUAUUCGGCUAGAGGGUUUGAGGGGGGACUGGAAUACUUGGUGUAGCAGUGAAAUGCGUAGAUAUCAAGUGGAACACCAGUGGCGAAGGCGAGUCCCUGGAAAACUCCUGACACUGAGGCACGAAAGCUAGGGGAGCAAACAGG
rnacentral:rRNA from 1 species